rnacentral:tRNA from 1 species
GCCACAUUGGCUCAGGGGCAGCGCGUCUGCCUAGUAAACAGAAGGUCGCUGGUUCGAUUCCAGCAUGAGGCA